UGCACAACAAGCUCAAAGAUAUAUGUUUUGAUUAAUGUGAAAAUAACCCCCGAUGUAAAGCCAUGAGCUCACUACCAAUGGACGACUUUUGGGGAGCGUUGAAGCCCGUCAUUUUUGUGGCCCACCCAAGUAACCAUCCAGCAUUACUAGAAAUCAUAAAUCAGAUGCAAAAUAGCAUUCACCAGCUAAUCAGCUGUAAAACGGCAAAGAUUAAAGCAAAUCAGCUCUAAAAUAACUGCAUCGAUAACAGCCGUUUUAGAGCUGAUUACCAGCUGCCACUAGCAUCACUGUUAUAAAUUGUCAAAAAACUGGCAACACGUCUGUCGUGUUGACCGAGAGUGAAAGAGUGCGACUGAGAAAGAAAAACAAAACGGUAAAAAACUCUCGCUCUCUCCGUCACUCCUAGAUCAACAAAACCAAAAUAAUCAUGGUGAUGGAAAUUUGGAUUCGGGUAAAUUACUGCUGGAGCCGAGGCUGGAGCCUGUUUUUCUUCUAACUUUCGAUGCAUAAAACAAUGUAUUUGCCCUCCAACGUGGAAAACAGCGGCCGUUCCGGACCAUCAGCAAUUGGCAGAUCAACAAAACCAAAAUAAUCAUGGUGAUGGAAAUUUGGAUUCGGGUAAAUUACUGCUGGAGCCGAGGCUGGAGCCUGUUUUUCUUCUAACUUUCGAUGCAUAAAACAAUGUAUUUGCCCUCCAACGUGGAAAACAGCGGCCGUUCCGGACCAUCAGCAAUUGGCAGGUGAAUUUUCAAUUUCAAGGCUGCAGCUGCUGCAGACUUGACCGGAAUUGAACGUUGGAAUGCAGACUUGAUGGGCUUGCGGUGCUCCGGCUGAAGGUUCAGAUAUAGGAAAUUUCGAUGAACAAAUGAUUAAAUAAGAUCAAUAAAAGUACUAAAGUCAAACUAAGAGUUACGCACGCUUUUCUCCGAAAUUAAAAGAUUAAUUGACUCCAGGCUUUCUAGGGAGACUAUUUGAAAGAGGUUUUCAGAAAAUGUAACAGUAUCUGAAGCUGUUCAAUCUCGUCAACAAAACAUUUCCCAAACAGGCGUGGCGAUACGGGAACAGGAACCACCAGUAAACAUCGACGAACACUUCCAUCAUCUGGCAUCAAAUCCCCAACAAAGCAAAAUCUAUCAAAUAAAAUGAUUCCCCUCCGGUCAGCUGAGCGUCGGUAAAGUGGUAACAAACAAACCAAAAUAGAACAGACAGGUGGAGGAGAAAGGAAGAGAGAGAAAAUAUUUUUGCUCCUCUCAUUUUUUUUGACAUUCAUGACAAU